rnacentral:ncRNA from 20 species
CAACUCUGGAGACAGGGACGGUCGCACCGACCGUGCCUGACCGAAGGUGUAGAGCGGCGCCAUGAUGCGACGCCGCAGACUCUCAGGUUUCAGGACAGAGCGGGGAGG